CCAAUAGCGUAUCUUAAAGUUGUUGCAGUUAAAAAGCUCGUAGUUGAACUUCGGGGUCUACCCAUUGGUCAGGCUUAAUUGUCUGCACUGGUGAGAUGGAUCUCUACCUUCUGAGGAACUUUCAUGCCAUUUAUUUGGUGUGAUGGGAAAUCAGGACUGUUACUUUGAAAAAAUUAGAGUGUUUAAAGCAGACUAUCGUCUGAAUACAUUAGCAUGGAAUAAUGAAAUAGGACGGACUGAUUCUAUUUCGUUGGUUUCUAGGAUCACCGUAAUGAUUAAUAGGGAUAGUUGGGGGCAUUAGUAUUCAAUUGUCAGAGGUGAAAUUCUUGGAUUUAUUGAAGACUAACUACUGCGAAAGCAUUUGCCAAGGAUGUUUUCAUUAAUCAAGAACGAAAGUUAGGGGAUCGAAGACGAUCAGAUACCGUCGUAGUCUUAACCAUAAACUAUGCCGACUAGGGAUCGGACGAAGUUAAUUUUAUAAUGACGCGUUCGGCACCUUACG
rnacentral:rRNA from 1 species